CGAUACGACCCAAGACCCCCUGUGAGCGUGCUAGAGAUGAUGUGAUAAAUGGCCUAAUUGAAGCCUUCAUCCCCACGUGUGACGCCGCUGGACAAUACACCCCUGAGCAAUGUUCCGGCUCUAAAGGUCAAUGUUGGUGUGUGAACAGUUCUGGACGGAAGAUCCCGGGUACUGAGACUCGACCAGGCACUGCUAGAAUCAACUGUGCCACCAAGUAUGGUACGAUACGACCCAAGACCCCCUGUGAAGGUGCUAGAGAUGCCGCGACACAUGGCCUAAUUGCAGCCUUCAUCCCCACAUGUGACGCAGCUGGACAAUACACCCCUGAGCAAUGUUCCGGCUCUAAAGGUCAAUGUUGGUGUGUGAACAGUUCUGGACGGAAGAUCCCGGGUACUGAGACUCGACCAGGCACUGCUAGAAUCAACUGUUCCACCAAGUGUAAGUGAGGCAAUGUGGUCUCAUCCAACACCAUCACCACUUUAAACUCCAACACAUCACUACUCUUGCUUCCUACCUUGGAUAUCUUUAUACUUUCUUUACAAGCUGCUCCACUGAUUUCAGAAUCAUG